AUAUAGAGUGUAAACACAGAUAUGUAGAAAUCGUACGUAGAAAGAGUUUUAAGAUCUAACGAAAAAAAUAUCGGUAAAACGUCAUUUAUUUAAAUUAUCUUAAAUCAUAAAUCAUCAUUUUAAAUUUUUUAUUUUAAAUUAUGUUUUUCGUUAUUAGUAUACCUACUUUAUUUUCUGUAUUUGUUUUUUAAAGUAUUGUCAUUUUUUUGUUUGUUUUAUUCAUCCUGUGUAUAUCAGCUGGCGGAUGGUGCAGAGACAUAGCGCGUGCAUAAUUUUUAAACUUCAUCCUUAUUCUUAUUUGUAUGUCGGAGAAGCCACAGUUAUUAACACCAUCGUCAGAAAUCGUAGGGGCGAAUACGGUGAUCGAGCUAAGAGAAAUAUUGAGUACACCAAUCACGUUUGUUGUCGUAGAACAAUUUAGAAAUCGUCUCUUGACAUUAGCAAACAGAAAACGAAUGACAGUUCUUAGGACGGAGGCACCGCUCUUCAAGAAGGCUGGUUGGUAAGUGUGAUGUCGUCUAUGCGCCUCCAUCGGCUAGGCUUUGUCGUAGCACGAAGUUAGCCGAGCUCCGACCAUAUCACGACUACAUAAUUAUGUAAUGUACUGCGUGAAUUCGAACUUAAGUUUACAAGAAAUGGAAUUAUAAUGGAGAAAAUACCACUUUGUGCUACUGUUGUUGAGAAGGACGAGGUCAAAGAAGACUACAAGAAAUUAAAAAAGAAGAUUACAAGAAGUUAGACAAAGAAGACUGCAAGAAGUUGGAGAAAGCACCUUACCAGAAUCAUUUCACACAAAGCAGUAUACUGUAAAAAGAGAAAAACGAUAGAAGACUUAUCGCUGUACCAAAGAAGAUGGAUAAAUAAAUUUUAAGAGAGAAAUAUAGGAGAGGACGACGUUAAAGAUCGGGAAUGAAGGAGGUCUGAUACUUACGACUAGUCCUGCUGAUUUUAUUAAACUAUCGACUGAUUCGUCUGAGGCAAACGAAUAAGCAGGAAUAGCCGAGUGGGAAGAUCGGACUAGUUUUUGUUUAAUUCACACUGGCACACUAAUUUAUUUUAAAAUAAAAAAUCUAAAUGACAGUCAGCCAUUGACAUGGCGACGUUACAAGUAGUGUUUUUUUUAAAUAAGUGUUUUUGUUGUUAAACUAAAUAUCCGCUAGAUUUCGCCAUACUAUCUUACACAUAUACUUAUAUAUAUAUAUAUAUUUACGCUUAUGUAUGGUAUGUAUGUAUUUUUGUGUAUGUAUGUAAAGAAACUAUAUUUCUUUAUAUUACAUUUGUACAGCGCCCUUAUAGCUCCUGCGUAAUUAUAUAGACAGCCCUGUCCAUAAUGGUGACAUGCGUUGAGAUUGAAGGGUUGACAUCUGGCAUGUUCGGGCAUAUUGUUACUAAAUUAAAUUGGAUAACUAUUAUAAGGAAUUGAGAGUGGUGGACUUUAAAUGUCGUUUCUUUGUUUUCAGAGCAACGCCAUGUUUAUUACAACUUACAAUUCCUAUUUAUAACUCCUGGUAAAUUAAAUAGAAAAAGUCUAAUAUGUAUUUGUAAUUUAAUAUAAAUUUCAUUGUACCUACCAUUUCUUCUUCUUCUCAGUCGUAUGCACUCUUGGCAGAGUGGUCGAGGUCAUCGCUUUGGGUGGUGGUGCGCUUCACCAGACGUCGCCAUUCCUCGCGUACCACGGCCCUUCUUGUGCACUCGUUAAGGACCGCUUAGAGCUGCCUUUAUUUAGUCGGUCCAUCGUAACGGUGAUCUGCCGCACGGUCUUGUACCCUCUAUCAUGCCCUGCACCACAAGGCGCUCAACUGAGUCGUCACUCCGCCGCGACAUAUGCCCGAAGAAAGUGAGAAUGCGACGUCGAACUCGUCAAACACUUCGUGAAACUUAACCCCCAAACAAAGCCCUCUGAGUUUCUCGCCGGAUCGUCUCGGUCGAUCGCGAUUCACAUCCGGUACUAGAUUCAGCGAAGCACUACUCGUGCCUAGGCAGAUGCUAACAACGUCUCUCAGGCUAAGCCCCGCGAGCUCACCCAACAAUCAAGAUGAAACCAGAAUAGCCUCACGAGGCUACUGGUAGGUAGGUAGGCAAAAACAAUGGUGGUCAUUUAAUACCUAAAACUAAAAAUGGCUUAAAUAAAUAAGGGUAUUUAGAUGUUUGCAAAAUUUGUCGAACGAAUACAGCAAGCAGCCAGUAAACAUUGUUGACGUAGGUACGUCAAGUGUUUUGCAGUCGUGAUGACCUUAGUCCGAUAGUCGCUGCUUGAUGCCAAGUUCUUGUAGAAUUGACUGAAUCGUUCUGAACUCCGUCCACAAUAUUUGCAGCAUUCUCCAGCACCACUUUUCGAGAGCAUCUAUCCUCUUUUUCUCACUUUCUCUUAAUGUCCAGGUCUCAGCAGCCUAAAGAAAAACUGGGAAGAGUAGCGCUCUUACAAGUCUGAUUUUAGUGGCUUCGGUGAUAUUUCGAGUCCCCCAUAUUUUCUUCAGCCUGUCCAUUGCUGACGUCAAAAUAGUCAUACGCCGCUUGAUUUCAUCAACGCACCCGGCACUAUUCGAUAUCAGUGCACCCAAGUAAAUGUAUGAUUGUACGACAUCGCCGUUCGCAAUUUUUCUGACCUCUGGCGAGUUAUUAUUAGCACGGUCGACAAUCAUGACACUUGUCUUGUUGCGGUUAAUUUUAAGUACGAAAUGAAGACUGACGCAUUCCACUCUGCCGAGUAGCUCCUCCAUAGGGGUGACACCUGACGCGACUAAAGUGAUGUCGUCUGCAUAACGAAGAUUUGAAAUCUUUCGACCUCCGAUAGUUAUUCCAUCCGACUAGAUUUCGAGGGCGAUUCUCAUUAUAAGCUCCUUAUAUAUAUUGAACAGGAGCGGUGAUAUAAUACACCCUUGGGGAACUGCUGCGCUAGGGUGGAUGUGACCAUUUUUUACCUACCACUAUGUACUCUGCACUACCUUUGGUUGACUGGUAGAAAAUUAAGUCCGCCAAUAUAAAUUUUACAUGAAGUGUAAUUAAUAAACGAAUAUGAUCACUAAAA